AACGCGUAUCCAACCUUCCGCUUACUCGGGGAUAGCCUUUCGAAAGAAAGAUUAAUACCCGAUGGUAUCUUAAGCACGCAUGAGAUUAAGAUUAAAGAUUUAUCGGUAAGCGAUGGGGAUGCGUUCCAUUAGGCAGUUGGCGGGGUAACGGCCCACCAAACCUGCGAUGGAUAGGGGUUCUGAGAGGAAGGUCCCCCACAUUGGAACUGAGACACGGUCCAAACUCCUACGGGAGGCAGCAGUGAGGAAUAUUGGUCAAUGGGCGAGAGCCUGAACCAGCCAAGUAGCGUGAAGGAUGACGGCCCUACGGGUUGUAAACUUCUUUUGUGCGGGAAUAAAGGAACCUACGUGUAGGUUUUUGCAUGUACCGUAACGAAUAAGCAUCGGCUAACUCCGUGCCAGCAGCCGCGGUAAUACGGAGGAUGCGAGCGUUAUCCGGAUUUAUUGGGUUUAAAGGGAGCGUAAACGGGUUUUU
rnacentral:rRNA from 1 species